rnacentral:tRNA from 1 species
GGGAGAGUGGUGGAAUUGGUAUACACGACGGACUUAAAAUCCGUUGCCGUAAGGCUUGAGGGUUCGAGUCCCUCCUCUCCCACCA